GACGGGGUAGAAAAAUAGGACAAACAGGAGGGGUGCUCCGGGCCAUCUCUCCGGGAAAAACAAGAAGAUAGAUUCUGCACGUCCCUGCCGUGCAGCCGCAAUGGAGAAGCCAACACCGCCGGCGUUCGUUUACCGGAUCAGCACGGCCGACGAGUGGGCGGAGCUCGAGCGCACGGGCGCCACCCUCGGCGGCGACCUCGACCGCUCCACCGGCUGCAUCCAUCUCAGCGACCUAGGCCAGGUGAAGAUGACUUUAAAGAACUUCUUUGUUGGAAGGAAUGAUCUAUACCUACUACAAAUCGACACUUCCAAGCUUGCAGAUGGGAUAGUUUAUGAGAAAAGUGAUGAUAAUAAGUACUUUCCUCAUUUUUAUGGUCCUGGUCGAAGCUUUGUACCUCUUAAACUAGAUGCUGUUGUCAAGGCGGAUAAAAUAGAGCUUGAAAACGAUGAUUUUACCUGCAGCCUACUUGAUGGAAGUAAUCUCCCAUGCUGAUUUGUAGAGUUCGGCCUUCUCUAGCAAUUUCCAUGCUUGCAGCUUGAUAUCCACUCCAUCUUGGCUAACUAUUUGAAGUUAAAUGUUCCAAUCUUAAAUGAUCUAUAAUUUUCAGAGAAUUUUUUCAUAUCUGACUUCAAAAUUGAAAAUAUUUUGCAUAUUUCUUAUUGGUUAUGCUGCAGCUUAUAAGUAUGUUGCUUAGUUUUUAAUUUCCAAGGGAGCAAAGAAUUUCAUUUAUAGAAUUUGGCUCCUGUCACAAUCAUCAAACUAGGUGCUUGAUGGCUACCCAAAGGCCCAAAUAAGGGAGCAAUACAAUAAAUUGGUAGGCCAGUUCUAAGUUAGCAAGGAGGAAGAUUAAUCCAUGAAUAGCGCUAAAAAAAGGGUGUUUUUAGACUAAGGAUAACCUAGGCCCUGUUUGGCUUAACGUAUUAUGCGGUCUGUUCUAAGUGGCAGGAUUACAGCAACUUACCAGGUUCUGCACAAUUGAAGAAUGAACUGAAUAAGCAGAAUUUGUUUUCCACCAGCUUUUCCAAACACCAGAUGUUUUUAAAAAAUGGUGGCCGCCCAAUAUCAAAUUGAAAUGAUUUCUCCAACAGGGAUCUCCAUGUUUCCCUGGCAGAUUCUGAAGAGGCACAGAUUGGAUCAUGAUGAAGGCACGAGUUGUGAAUGUUGAAUUUGUGCUGAUGAACUUGACAAAAACUUCAGCAUGCGAGGGUUGUGGAGUUGAACUACAUAGCAAACUGGUGACAUGUUACUCUAUCUGCCAAACAUACGCUAGAAAAAGUCGCAAAGUGCGCUCCUGACAAGCGAUUAUCUGAUGGGUUAUCUUCUCAAAGGAAGAUGCUCUAUUCGAAUAAGUGUAACUUUCAGUAGUAGAGGGAAAAAAGGGUCUAUUAAUGUGCUAGUAGAUUGAUCUUUGCUAGUA